CUCGCGCACCAGGAAACAAAGAGGAAAGAAAAAGUCUUUGCCUCUUCGGCAGCUCCAGACUUUUCCCCGGACUCCCUCCCGGCUAGCCGUGGUGCACUGGCCCCCUGCAGGCUGUGUUCACGCUGCCAACUCCAGUCCUCUCCUUGCACUCCAACCGAAGCCAGAGCCUCAGCUCCCAGCCCCGUCCGCCCCAGCGGGUGAGCAGACAAGCCUCUCGGACUGGUGGGGCUGAGUUCCUUCCAUGUUGGUUGUUUGGCAUGAGGCGACCCAGCACCGGAGCCUACAGGCUCUUUGGUGGGGCUAAUGGCGGACACUGGGAGGGCUCACGCCAAGUAGUACUUCCUAGAACUUCUGCUGCCAGUGUCCUUGUCCCCACGGUGAGCCACAGCCACCCCUACCUCUGCAGGAGACCCUCCAACACUAGCAGGGUGAAAACUAUUCAGCAGAAAUGAAAAAGAGAGGUCCAAGUCAUUGGAGGGCAGCUUCUGCCUAUAAACCCAGGACAUAUACAUGAGGUUGCCAGCGUUACUCGGGGACGAUCACUGAAAGGGCUGGGACUCCACCAGGGAAAGGCUCCAGUAUGACAUAAAGGAGCCGACAUCAGGAAAAGAAAAACAUGGUCAAAGUUCUGGGAGAAAAAAAAAGGGGCUCAGUUGCAAAGACAAUUCGAUUAAUUAUGCUGAAUAUCUUUCUUCUCUCAGGCUGCCUUUUAGAGGUUUUACCACGUAUGCUAUCCCAGCGGGUAGCUAGGUCUUUGACAUAUCUUCUAUCUG